GUUUGUUUGUUUGUUUUUACAGAAAGCAGGUGGGUCCUGACAAUGAGAGAUUGGUAAGCAUGGAGGCGACCUGAACCAGGUUGUAGACCAGGAAGAUCCAUGAGCAUUUGGAACAAGAGAAAAUGGAGGAGCCUGUAGCAGAUGAUAGCCUCGUUGGAUGGAUAUGUGUGUAACUGAGUGGAUCUGCAUCCACAUGGGAGGAAAGGUCCUCUUCUCCCAUCUCCAUCUGUCUAAAUGUCAUCAUCCUUCAAGUUCAAUGUAGAGUUCUUCUCUGAAGUCCAAGAGCACUUGCUGUCUACACCUUGACUAGUUGGACAAGGCCAUGUCUU